GCAUGUGCAAGGGUAGAGGAUUAAGACCAGCCACGACUAAGAAAGAAGCCGAGACUCCGAGAGUUUGGCGAGCUCGCGCCCUUACCUCAGAGAGGUAGAGACAGUCAGCUUUUGCACACAACAGCAGACGGGCCGCCUGGGACUCCCUCCCUCACCAAAAGCUCAGCUAGACGUCCAAACCAUGCUCAGACCCUCGAACUCCACGUUUCUGGGCUAAACAAUCAACAUUUCACUUCCUUCCUCUGGUGGCCUCUCACCUUCUCUGGAACCACAGCAGUCCCAGGACGCCUCCAAUGC